CAGCGAGACGGGCAGCGGUAUACUCACUCCUCACUCCAGCUCUGCAGCUUUACAGGGAGACGCCGAGAAAACACACGAGUUACUGGAUAAAGACGUCAGGACGGUUGAAUUCACAAAGGGCCUGUCAGACUCUCUGGGCAUCAGUAUAGCAGGAGGGGUCGGCAGUCC